rnacentral:rRNA from 1 species
AGGUUGUGCCCUUGAGGGCGUGNNNNNNGGANNUANNGNGUUAAGUNGACCGCCUGGGGAGUACGGCCGCAAGGUUAAAACUCAAAUGAAUUGACGGGGGCCCGCACAAGCGGUGGAGCAUGUGGUUUAAUUNGAUGCAACGCGAAGAACCUUACCUGGUCUUGACAUCCACGGAAGUUUUCAGAGAUGAGAAUGUGCCUUCGGGAACCGUGAGACAGGUGCUGCAUGGCUGUCGUCAGCUCGUGUUGUGAAAUGUUGGGUUAAGUCCCGCAACGAGCGCAACCCUUAUCCUUUGUUGCCAGCGGUCCGGCCGGGAACUCAAAGGAGACUGCCAGUGAUAAACUGGAGGAAGGUGGGGAUGACGUCAAGUCAUCAUGGCCCUUACGCCUGGGGCUACACACGUACUACAAUGGCGCGCACAAAGGGUAGCGAGACCGCGAGGUGGAGCCAAUCCCAAAAAACGCGUCCCAGUCCGGAUUGGAGUCUGCAACUCGACUCCAUGAAGUCGGAAUCGCUAGUAAUUCGAGAUCAGCAUGCUCGGGUGAAUGCGUUCCCGGGCCUUGUACACACCGCCCGUCACACCACGAAAGUCGGUUUUACCCGAAGCCGGUGAGCUAACUCGCAAGAGAAGCAGCCGUCUACGGUAGGGCCGAUGAUUGGGGUGAAGUCGUAACAAGGUAGAAUCACUAGUGAAUUCGCGGCCGCCUGCAGGUCGACCAUANGGGAGAGCUCCC